GUUGCCUGAAAAACAGCGCUGAGGUAGUGUAUCCACGUACACUACUACAGCAUUAUGCUGAGGCGAUUCCCUUUUUGGGACAGUUUGGCGCCACAGACACGCAUUCUGGGUUAUGUCAGAGAUUU